UAGAGCUGCAAUGUAAACAUUGCAGUUUCUCUAGAACUGCAAUGUUCAACAUUGCAACCCUA
rnacentral:miRNA from 1 species